GGAAAUUCGUACUGGGUGGCAACAUCGGUUUAUGACGCCCGAUUUACUCAGAAAAAAAAACACAGUCACUGUUUUCGGUCUUAAUUGACAAAAUGUGCGCGCCAAGCAAAUAUUCAAUAACAUCGUCUGUACAAUAAGCUACAGUUAAAAAGAAAAGCUCGCACAAAAAAAUCAAUUCGCAAUAUUCGUGCUGCCGCUCUGCCCGCCCGCCACCGCCGUCGCGCUCAUCCCAAAUAAACACACAACGCACAGCAAAAAAAGAAAAAUCUACAAAAAGAAGCGAAA